rnacentral:rRNA from 1 species
UCUCGGGUGGCAGCAGUGGGGAAUAUUGGACAAUGAGCGAAAGCCUGAUCCAGCCAUGCCGCGUGUGUGAAGAAGGCCUUCGGGUUGUAAAGCACUUUCAGUGGGGAAGAAAGCCUUGGGGCUAAUACCCUCGAGGAAGGACAUCACCCACAGAAGAAGCACCGGCUAGCUCCGUGCCAGCAGCCGCGGUAAUACGGAGGGUGCGAGCGUUAAUCGGAAUUACUGGGCGUAAAGCGCGCGUAGGCGGUCUGAUAAGCCGGUUGUGAAAGCCCCGGGCUCAACCUGGGAACGGCAUCCGGAACUGUCAGGCUAGAGUGCAGGAGAGGAAGGUAGAAUUCCCGGUGUAGCGGUGAAAUGCGUAGAGAUCGGGAGGAAUACCAGUGGCGAAGGCGGCCUUCUGGACUGACACUGACGCUGAGGUGCGAAAGCGUGGGUAGCAAACAGGAUUAGAUACCCCAGUAGUC